CGUGGGUAACCUGCCCAAGAGACUGGGAUAACACCUGGAAACAGAUGCUAAUACCGGAUAACAACACUAGACGCAUGUCUAGAGUUUAAAAGGUGGUUCUGCUAUCACUCUUGGAUGGACCUGCGGUGCAUUAGCUAGUUGGUAAGGUAACGGCUUACCAAGGCAAUGAUGCAUAGCCGAGUUGAGAGACUGAUCGGCCACAUUGGGACUGAGACACGGCCCAAACUCCUACGGAAGGCAGCAG
rnacentral:rRNA from 1 species